CAGCUUGAAUUUGUAAUAACUGGACAGAUGGUCUCGGGAGAUAUCCAAGUGCCUGCAAAUGACAGCAUUUCAGAGCCUGGAAAGCAUUAGCUGGGGUUUCUGCCUCUCUACCAGAGGAAGAUGACAAGCCAAGUUAUCAGCACAAGACAGAAGAGUUUAAUUCCCUUUCCUCACCUUAGUCCAUCUCCCCAGAGACAGCGGGGUGGAUCAGGCACCUUCCCUCCUCACUUUCAGAUGCUCUGUUCAGCACUGCCUGGUGAUGACACCUGAACAAAGGAUCAGUCAAGGCUGUGAAUGAGGUAACCUUUGGAAUUCAGGCACCAAAAGCAUUCUCUGUGUGACAGGAACACAGCUCUGACUGAGCCUGCCUGGCAGCCCGGGCUCCCAGCCUCCUGGUCCCUCCCUGCAGAAAGGAUUUCCAUGCAAACAUGAAGGCAGCACAAGUUGGAAAUCAAAGCUCUUUUCUUCUUUCCUACUGUUUCAUUAAUUCUUUUUCUGAGGGCGUGCUUCAAUGUCAGGGAGAAAGAUCUGGCCAAGGAAUUAACCCAGCAUAGAAAGGAGCCCGAUGCUGAACUUGAAUUGUCUUUUGGCUUUACCUGAAUUUGAUCUAUAGUUUCUCCUUCCUAUAAGCGUUUUUGGGAACUCUAUUUGCAGGCAACUGGCAGGUUCAUGUUCCAGUCCCAAACUCCUUCUGACCCACUCUGUUCUGACCUACAGCUUUCAACAGCCUUUCCAGUGGGGAUCUCAGGUUCUCUUCUUGUUUUGGCUCAAGAGGGAAAUGGUCUCCAAGCAAAAGCAGAUGCUGAGCUAAAAAACCCCAAAACAGCAACCACAAAAAGUGUACUUAACAUCCUGAUCAGAGAUAGUCUGAAGGGUGUAACCUGCUCUGCUGGGCCAGAGUCCGGAGCUGGGGUCACAACAACGUAAAACUGUGACUUCUCAAGGGUGCCUUAAUAGCUUGGAGACCUUUGAGAUUCAUGUGGUACAAACAACAAAAUAGAGUUAAACGUUUGGUCUUCAACUUUGAAAAAGAAGGAAAUCCCUAAUCCAGCACCCUCUCCUGGUAGUUAAGUCAGGGAGAAGUCAAGGAUGAAGUGAGCAUUGUCUCACAGGCUGUGAGGUCCUGACUAUGGGAACACAGGUGGGAGGAAGUUGUCCUGUAAUCUGUGCUGUGUCUGUGUUGGAGAUGAAUCUGCUUCAUCUCCAGAAUGAGUCCCUCGCAGAUUUUGCCUAGAGCUUGCUUGAGAGAAUCUUUCCAGAAAGGCAAGAUCAACAGGAAGAUCUGAACGAGCCGGGAAACGUGUUCUGCUAUCCCUACCAGUUCCCUGUGCCAUCAGACAGGAGGUCCCUGCAGCCACUGUUCUUCUACUGUUUACUACUGACGGCCAGAGAACUCAAAAACAAAUUCCCAUUGACAAUCUAUUAUCACGUGCAGCUGGAAACAGCCAGUGCUUGGGACUUGUCCAAGCAGCUUAAAGCACCAAAGGGCAAGGACUGCCUUCCUGUGGCUCUGACAAUUCUCCAUUCCCUCUCUGCUGAGUCCAGCACAAUGUAGCUGGUUGAUCCCAGCCCUGGAGAAAUCAGCUGCCCUUUAACUUCUGAGCUUCCCAUGACCCACCAACAAAAUCCCAUGUGGAAGGUGGGUAUAAAGAAAAGUGGUUAAAGCAUCCCAGUAAAAUAACAUCAAAGAAAAGCAUUCAUCCUCGUGAUCUAUUACGGACAUCUGAGCAGUACCCAGAGCUCUUGUUGUGACCUUUUGCACGGGGCAUGGUACAAGCCAACCUCUCCCUCCUCAGUCAGACUCAAGACAUGACACAUAGGCAGAGGGAGAGGGAAGUAAGUGUCAAUAGCUGCCCUGAUCAAUAGUGUCUCUAGUUAUAAGCUCAGCAUGUUGAUAAAAACAAAUGAACUAGAGAUGCUGACAAAUUAACAUUUGCCUAAUCGUUAUUCUCAGGCAAUAGAUCAGCACACUGCCAGCCCCGCACACUGUCACCAGCACUUUCAACGAUGGGCAAGGAGCUGUCAAGUGCACGUGUGGUUUUGAAGGGUCAAGGACAGAACUGUGAAAGAUGCUGAAAAUUCAAGUGCAAGAAUCAAAAAGUGACCAGAACUACAGCUGCCAGUAUUUUUUCCAAUUUAUUUCUCCAAUAGAUUUGCCUCCAUCUUUAUGCAUGAAGGAAUUGAGUCCCGCAGAGAUGCAGGAGAUAUAAAAGCUGUAGACCCAACUAGCUCUUGCUGUGGAGUAUGAAUACCCUCCCAUCAUCUACAGACCCAAAGGAAGCUGCAGUACAUGCAGCUUCACUCUUCCACCACCAGCCUUCCAGGUCUAGCCAGCAAAUCUGGCAAAUACUGCUCAUUUGUAGGCUCCAUCCUCAUUGUUAUGGCACUUCAAGCUGCGUUGGCACGAGAGCCUUGGGACUGCUCCUGGGGCUGCCCAUGCCAGUAUCCUCUACCUUGGACUUCAGACUUAUCUUCUCUCCCAGUCUCUCUCCAGGCAGCUGCCCAAAGCCAAGCCUGACUCACCAUGGCUCCGCGCCAACAACAUAACGUUUGUGCUGCUGCUGCUACAAAAAUGAUUGCAAAGCGACUUUUCCAGCAUCAGGGAUUUGUCCAAGGAGAGGGCAAACAAUAUUGCACCGGCGUGAAGUGACUGCAAUGACUUUAGAAUAACAAAUAUGAUGUAAAUGCAGAAUCUGGCACAGGUUACAUCUCGAAGGAAAACUGCACUGUCAUUUUAGCUGGCGUCUUGCAGCUGUAAAUCACGGAGAUUUUAUUAAUUGAGGGGUCAUCCCAGCUUGUGUGGGGAAAUACCAUCCCUGCCUUACAGCAGCGAAACUGAAGCAGGGGUAGGCUGAACUAUUCCAUGGCCCAGCAAAGCCUGUGAUUCCCGAAACUGUCAGCCUGCCAGGACUGACAUUGUAAAUGAGACGACUCAUGCUAGCUGAGAAACAUGUUGAUCUUUGUACCUGCCUGCAGUAAAGAUGCUCCUUCGGCUCACUGAA